GCAGUGGGUACGGGCAGACUAGAGUGCGGUAGGGGGAGAUUUGAAUUCCUGGUGUAGCGGUGGAAUGCGCAGAUAUCAGGAGGAACACCGAUGGCGAAGGCAGAUCUCUGGGCCGUAACUGACGCUGAGGAGCGAAAGCAUGGGGAGCGAACAGGAUUAGAUACCCUGGUAGUCCAUGCCGUAAACGUUGGGAACUAGAUGUAGGGGCCAUUCCACGGUUUCUGUGUCGCAGCUAACGCAUUAAGUUCCCCGCCUGGGGAGUACGGCCGCAAGGCUAAAACUCAAAGGAAUUGACGGGGGCCCGCACAAGCGGCGGAGCAUGCGGAUUAAUUCGAUGCAACGCGAAGAACCUUACCAAGGCUUGACAUAUACCGGAAACGUCCAGAGAUGGUCGCCCCGCAAGGUCGGUAUACAGGUGGUGCAUGGUUGUCGUCAGCUCGUGUCGUGAGAUGUUGGGUUAAGUCCCGCAACGAGCGCAACCCUCGUUCUAUGUUGCCAGCACGUUAUGGUGGGAACUCAUAGGAGACUGCCGGGGUCAACUCGGAGGAAGGUGGGGAUGACGUCAAAUCAUCAUGCCCCUUAUGUCUUGGGCUUCACGCAUGCUACAAUGGCCGAUACAAAGGGCUGCAAUACCGUAAGGUGGAGCGAAUCCCAAAAAGUCGGUCUCAGUUCGGAUUGAGGUCUGCAACUCGACCUCAUGAAGUCGGAGUCGCUAGUAAUCGCAGAUCAGCAACGCUGCGGUGAAUACGUUCCCGGGCCUUGUACACACCGCCCGUCAAGUCAUGAAAGUCGGUAACACCC
rnacentral:rRNA from 1 species